AAUCAACGCUGGCGGCGUGCCUAACACAUGCAAGUCGAACGANAAAGGGGGACUUCGGUCCCUGAGUACAGUGGCGCACGGGUGAGUAACACGUGACUUAUCUACCCUCGGAGUGGGGAAGUAAACUUCGGGAAACCGAGGCUAAUACCGCAUAAUACCCACGGGUCAAGGAGCAAUUCGCUUGAGGAGGAGGUCGCGGCCCGAUUAGUUAGUUGCGGGGUAAUGGCCCCACCCAAGACGGUGAUCGGUAUCCGGCCUGAGAGGGCGCACGGACACACUGGAACUGAAACACGGUCCAGACUCCUACGGGAGGCAGCAGUGGGGAAUUUUGCGCAAUGGGGGAAACCCUGACGCAGCAACGCCGCGUGGAGGAUGAAGUCUCUUGGGACGUAAACUCCUUUCGAUCGGGACGAUUAUGACGGUACCGGAAGAAGAACGCCCCGGCUAACUUCGUG
rnacentral:rRNA from 1 species